AGUGAACGCUGGCGGUAGGCCUAACACAUGCAAGUCGAACGGCAGCACAGUAAGAGCUUGCUAUUACGGGUGGCGAGUGGCGGACGGGUGAGGAAUACAUCGGAAUCUACUUUUUCGUGGGGGAUAACGUAGGGAAACUUACGCUAAUACCGCAUACGACCUACGGGUGAAAGAAGGGGAUCUUCGGACCUUGCGCGAUUGAAUGAGCCGAUGUCGGAUUAGCUAGUUGGCGGGGUAAAGGCCCACCAAGGCGACGAUCCGUAGCUGGUCUGAGGGGAUGAACAGACACACUGGAACUAAGACACGGUCCAGACUCCUACGAGAGGCAGCAGUGGGGAAUAUUGGAGAAUGGGCGCAAGCCUGAUCCAGCCAUACCGCGUGUGUGAAGAAGGCCUUCGGGUUGUAAAGCCCUUUUGUUGGGAAAGAAAAGCAGCAGGUGAAUACCCCGCUGUUCUGACGGUACCCAAAGAAUAAGCACCGGCUAACUUCGUG
rnacentral:rRNA from 1 species